rnacentral:other from 12 species
GGCGUUAGUAUAUAGUGCGUGCAGCCUCCAGGACCCCCCCUCCCGGGAGAGCCAUAGUGGUCUGCGGAACCGGUGAGUACACCGGAAUUGCCAGGAUGACCGGGUCCUUUCUUGGAUUAACCCGCUCAGUGCCUGGAGAUUUGGGCGUGCCCCCGCGAGACUGCUAGCCGAGUAGUGUUGGGUCGCGAAAGGCCUUGUGGUACUGCCUGAUAGGGUGCUUGCGAGUGCCCCGGGAGGUCUCGUAGACCGUGCAUCAUGAGCACACUUCCAAAACCCCA